UGGCGGCAGGCUUAACACAUGCAAGUCGAGCGGUAGCAGAUCUAGCUUGCUAGAUGCUGACGAGCGGCGGACGGGAGAGUAACGCGUAGGAACCUGCCCAGUAGUGGGGGAUAGCCCGGGGAAACUCGGAUUAAUACCGCAUACGCUCUACGGAGGAAAGAGGGGGCUUCGGCUCUCGCUAUUGGAUGGGCCUGCGUGAGAUUAGCUAGUUGGUGAGGUAAUGGCUCACCAAGGCGACGAUCUCUAGCUGGUCUGAGAGGAUGAUCAGCCACACUGGGACUGAGACACGGCCCAGACUCCUACGGGAGGCAGCAGUGGGGAAUAUUGCACAAUGGGCGCAAGCCUGAUGCAGCCAUGCCGCGUGUGUGAAGAAGGCUUUCGGGUUGUAAAGCACUUUCAGUGGGGAGGAAGGCCUCGUAGUUAAUAGCUGCGAGGAUUGACGUUACCCACAGAAGAAGCACCGGCUAACUCCGUG
rnacentral:rRNA from 1 species